AAGUAAAAAGUAAACGAUAAAAAUCAGUAGGUAGAGAAAUGAGUGUGUCUAAAAAGAGACAAAUGAUUGCAAUACAAACACAAACUUGUACAUCUAUGCCAAAAUAAACCACGGCCCAAUUCAGAGUGCAACACGUCGGCCCAGUCGGGGGUUUCCUAUUAAUCAAGUGUUGAUAAGGUCAUUAAAACGUUUGAAGAUCACGCAGGCCUUUAAAUAUUUUAGGAUUCAAGUCCCACUCCCUGUGUGGCCUGACCUGCCGGGACUACAGACGGGAAACUUUCUGUGUUGACACCUGCCAUGUUGGGAGUGAGUAACAGCAGCAGAGCCUCAGGAUUCAUGCCAGGCCAAAAAAACAAUGCCCCGAAGACAACUGUAGUACCGAGACGUCAAAAUUGUCCUGGUAGGUCGAUACAAAACAUUUUUUUAAAGGAUGAAUGACUGAACUGUUUAAUUCUUUUUGUAUUAGUGCAAGUAAACCUUGAAAUGCAGAGGAAAGAGCCGCUGUGGCCGCGUGCAGCAGUACAAGUUAAACGCGUAACAAAUGGAGAGACGUUGUCUGUUUGACACCAAUAUUUUAUCUAAAGUUUGCCCCUGUUAGCUGAUGCGGGUCCUACCAGAGCAGUGGCGUUGCUCAUGAAUUCAGAGGAAGAUUGCUUUUGUUUUUCUUUCAAAUAAUUGCACAGACUUGCUUGAAAAGGCGCCUGAAGCCGUGCUCUUUUAUUCCAGGUCCUGAGCGAGGUGGCACAGCCGGGCGGUUUUAGAUGCCGAGGAGGCAGGUGGCUUCAUUGUCGGCAAGGGGCUUUGUUUUGUCCCCCGCUGUUGUCCCGGUCCUUUCUAUGGCAGCACCCGCUGGCAGUGGUCCCUUGAACUGGUCAUUUUGAGAUGACGGGGCUCAGUGUGUGCCGGGGGGGGUUUAUUACCUGGUUUUAAUGGGUCUCGGUUGGCUUCCAAGCAAUUGGCUUAGUAAACGCAAGCAAUUCCAGUGUGUUUACAUGAAGCUCUGCCUAGAGGUCUGUAAGGUACGUCUUUGACCAACGGGGUCUGUGGUGUUGGACACAUUUGCAUCACAUCAUCAAUGCUACGGAUCCGUUGAAAGUUCCUCUGCUGAGCAAAUCCAGAGCACAUUUACAUGUUGUACCACUACAAGCUUUUCUCUGCAGGGUUAAACUGCUAAAUUAGUGAACAAAAGAGCAGAGGGUGCGCGUUACAGAACCGCGCAUAUUGCUUCUUAUCGGCCGGCUGUUUGUUGACACAGCUGUGUAUGCAGGCAGCGGUCACCUGUAGAAAGGGCAGGACACCACAACAUGUAACUCUUAGGCGUGAACGAGUCCCCUAGUGUGAGAUGACGCCUCCCCUCCCGGGCCGACAGCUGAGGGCGCGCUUCAACUGGCACGAGCCAUCUGCCUGGAGACCUGCGGAACAAGGUGUCGCUGCACAAUGUGAGUCACUGUUGCCUUCAUUGUCCAACUUUAGCGCGACACCAAUCGAUCCCUCUCGGAAGCUGUUGUUUUUUUGGUCAUUUUUAGGAGACGAUCCAAGAGCCACGGCUGACGGUGUGUAUAGGAAGAGGAAUUUAAGGUUUGAUAUUCACGCAGAACGUGUGUGUCCCCAGUGACUUAAUCAGCUGCAGGAGCUAUCAGCCGAGUUUCUGUCCACAGAGUAAAGCGCUUCGCCUCACGCGUCUCUUCAGAGAGGCCAUUUGCUCAGAUUGAGGGCCGGGACACUGAGCUUUCUCUGCUCAUCAUCCCACAGGCGGUUGGAGGGGCCGCGCCUCCGGCGUGUCCGCACGGUUGUGCAGAGGGUUGAAUGCAGGGAGCCCGGCCAGCGUGUUACAUUACGCAUUAUCAGUAUUCAUGAAAUUGAACCCGUGGCGGAUAAACCCCCUCUGUCCUCCUUGAUCCGUUCACAUCUGGGGAGCGCGUUAGGCCAAAGGAGCCUCCACUGUGCGAAACAGUAUGUUGGUAUCUAUGCUUUAUUUGAUCAGUUCUGUGCUGAUAACAAUAGAUGAUUUUAAUUGACUGUUUUUUACUUAGCUUUGUGUUGUUGUGGCUUAAAUGAAAUAACAAUACAAUCACAGUUAGUAACAAUUGGGUUGUCAGUAGGAGUGUAUUUUUAAAUGUUGAAAUAUUAAAUUAGCGGGUCGGAAUUUGCUGCAAAACUGUUAUUUUGACAUAAGUGUUGUAAAUGAAGUAUUAUAAUUGGCGUUGCUGUUUACCAGUGGUGAGGUGCGCUGCUGCCCAGGUACGUUCAUACUGUGUAUUAUUCACAACGUAUUCACAGUGUGUGUCAAGCCAAGAAUAAUGAUCGCACACCCACGAGGAGCAUUUUCAUCGCCCUGCCUGGUAUGUCAGCCAAAGGAAAGGAAAUUCCUUGAUUACAAUAAUAACAAGGGCGCAGAAAUGAAAAGAUGGAGUCAGUUGCGUGGGGAGUGUAAAGCUCAGGAGCCUUUUCUGAUUGAGGGUGUUUUAGCAGCAUGUUUUUUAUCAGAGAGCAUGUUAAUAUCAGCGUCCCACAGUGGCAGAAUUAGAAAAACACCAAGUAUGCUCACAAAUGCACUGACAAGUCUAUGUAGUUUGUGCAGGUGUGUUUAGAUGCUACAUACUCACACACAAAGCAAAAUGUUGCUUUGUUGAUUUCGCUGUUUUGUUUCUAAUGAUUCUGUUUUUAACAACUUCACGUCCGAUGCCCGUUAUCGCAGGAAGCCGAAUCCAGUCACAGCUCAGUGUGGGAAAGGUCACGACCUCGGGAGGCGGGUUGCGAACCCCAUCGGUGAGGGAAAACGUCCGGGGCCGUGGGACGAGGUGCGUUCGAGGGGGGUUUGGUUCCACAGAGAGACGCGGGGGCAUUCGCAUGAGCCACCUGUCCCGUCCCGUCCUGCCUGAGGCUUUUGCUGGAUACAAUCUGAGGAGGGGGCUCCCGCCUCGGCCCAGCGACCUCUCCUUUCAGCGGCGGGCGCGUGUGUCAACCAAGAGACGGUCCUCAUGUUUGCCGAGGUCAAAGCCAUCCAUCAAACCGGCGAGGCUCCCGGCCGGCCGGCUCCGCGCAGGCAGUUGGUAACGUCGCUCCGUUCUAGGAGAAGCUAAAGGAAAGUACCGUGUCCUCCGAUGGCUGAAAAGCAAACGCGCUAAACGUGAAAAGACUCAAAGAGAGGCGACACUUUGCUGCAGAUUAUAUAACCGCCACAUACAAAAGGCCGUUAUAGGCCAACCAAAUUCCCUUGAAAAGGAAUCUUUCCCACGAUUUACCAACUGAGUGUUUAAAGGAAGGAGUUUUAUUGCUGCUAACAAUGAAUAUUUAUGACUCAAGAUGGUGGAUUGAAAUGUGACACAUAUGUGUCUUAGAAAUCUUCCCUGGACAUAUUUCCGCAGCAGGCUGGAGAUAACUUCAUUAAUUCUAUGGUUGCCUGGAUACAGACCUUAAUAAUUCCAGUGGGGCUUUAUGAAAAGAAGACAAAGACGGGAAGGAGCAAGAUAUCUAAAUUCUUCCUAAAUCUCCUAUUUUAACUCCGACAACUAUCUUUUCUACUCUUGUCAGUUAGAAGAAAAUAUUAUCAAUUAAUACUUAGAGUUUUAUAAAAUGUGGUUGAAAGCUGUUGCUCGCCCCAUAUCAAUUAGUAUUCUCUGCAGAAAUGACAAAAUGACAAAAUAUGACAAUUUAAAAAGGCUGUCGACUUUUUGCGUUUGUUGCCUAAAAUGUGUUGCCGGCUCUUUCUGCUGAUUGCAUUGGUUUUAUUCUCCCAACUUAAUUGUUUUGUUCACUCCCGCUGCUUUUAUUAACCUUUUUCCCAGCCGCGGGCAGCUGUUUCUGACAGCAACAAAGAAACCUACUUAACCCACCAAACGCUACCUGCCCCAAGAACAAAAUGAGCAACUAGCUGGUUAACGAAAAGAAGCAUUCGGCUCUUUAAAACAAAGUAGUCGGCGUAGACCUCAAAUAUAAGCAUAAAUAGGAUUCGUUCCUGAUGUGUUUUAAGCUUGUUCCACUGCCCCUGAGUGAAAAAUGGAUGCUGCUUUAUUGAAACUUGAAAUGGUAGACCCAGCUAGCAAUAACUUCAGACACGGUUUACUACUUUAAUAAUAACCUCCCUGACUUGUGCUUUCCAGCCAGACCUCUGCUGAUUCCUAAACCUUUUGAUCUUGACAGUGGUGUUUGCUCAGCGGUGAAAUGGCCUUAAGGUCCAAAGGGGGACUCACAUUCUUUCCUUUAAAGUUUGGUUAUGAGGAAUGCAAGUUGUCUCCAUGAAGUGGAGGAAAAUGACCGUUACAAAGACUUGCUCAGUUGAUUAAAGGCUCAUCUUUGUCUUUACCUGGGCAGAUUAAACAUUAACAAUAACAUCUUGUCAGUUUCCAUCACCACAUAUUUGUUGUCUCCCAGAAUGAGUGUCUUAUCUGCAGCCCGCCUGGCUUAAAAAAAACAGUUAAAUCUGACACAAGUUCAUAUAAUAUGCACGGCUACGGGUCAUUUGAAGCUAAUUCUGUUUUUUAUAAUAAUGCUGUACUCAAAGCAUUGAGUUUGCACAUUCGGCUUUCCUUUCAGAAAGCACAAUUUCAACAUGUGAUGUAACUCUGACGAUUCAUUCUGUGGUUCUCUCCCCCUGCAGGACUCUACCGGCUUAUUCCACAUUUCUUUGCUAUUCAUCGAUCCCCCUCAUUAAAUUUCUUUGCCAUGACUUUGAUUGUCAUACCACCGGGUGGGAAAUAAGGAAUAAAGGCAAACAUCACAGACGGAUAUCAGAUCGGCCUGUUCCCUGCGGAGAUGUUACUUGGCUCUGCUCUUGACGAACGAAUAACAGGCCGAGAAUCCUUUUGACUUCGGUGCCCCUGACGGUCCGUCCCGGCUCUUUUGAUUGCGCUCAGCAGGCAGGUGCUAUUCUGCACGGCCUCAGAGGCCUCAAGCCGCUGCAUGUGGUGACUCGGAAAGGUGCGACCUUCAGAUACCUGCGGGCUUUUUGCGAUGUGAGCGCUCGGAGGUGGGCUGCCUGGCUGGUCAACACUUCAAUAGACACCUGCAGCUUUCCCUUUCGGGCCAUCUCAUUCCCUCUUUUUUGGUUCACUGGAGAGUUAUUGCAAGGGAGGGAGGGAGGGGGGGAGAGAAAGAGAGAAUAUAAGGGAUGGGGUGUGGCUUCAGCGACACAGUGGAUGUAGGUAGAUGCUUGAGUGAUGGACUAAAUAAUGCAAAGAAAGGUUAGACCGACUGGACAAACAGAGACUACUUGGUAGGCAUAUAUUGCAAAUACAACUGAGCCUAAAAUAGACCCAAAUUAUAGUCGUAGAGAAGAGGAUUAGAAUGAUAAAGCAUAUCUAAGUUGUAGAAAUGAUGUGUCCUAAGGACUGCGCCUAUUGAUUGAGUCAUUUAGCGCAUCAUUCAAGCGUUGGUUUGAAUGAUGAGCGGCUUAAAGGAGGAUGGGAAAGUCGUGGAUUUAAUCUGAGCUGGCAAAAAAAAAUGGAAAAGUCAAAAGGUUUCUGAGAGGUGGCAUGAGAGGGAGUCACAGUGCAGCACCUGGGAGACAGACCACCACCUUGCGUACAUGUGGCCCCGUCAUGGUGACCAUGGAGACAGUUGUGUUUUAAAUGGGACACAACUGGCUUUAUUCUCACGUCUAAGCGGUCAGCCAUGAUGCUCAUUAUGUUACCGCUACACUGCAUACACACUGGAUGAAGUUGGGUGUUGUCGGACUUUAAAAAGCCCCGUUCAUCUUAAAUGUUAUAACGUACACAGAUCUAGUUUAAUGUAUGCACCUGACUGGACCUUUCCCCGAGAGAUGAAAACGCUGAAAUGUCUAUGACACAAUCUGAACCAAUAAAUACUAUUUCAGUUAUAUAAGUGUCCUAUUAAAUAUUCCAUUUAUAAAGAGCUCAAUCAUUUGAUUAAUGUGUAUUUUAACUCAAAACUGUAUUGUAUAUAAUGAUUACACAUCUUGACAUGAAUUAAUAUCAACAGUACGUGCCGGCUCCGUGAGCUUUCUGACCCUCUGAGAUGCUCUCCAGCGUAAACGUAAUUACGGCCUGACAGCGGGCAGCGGCCUGAUAAUCAGAAGCUGUUGAUUGGAGCAUGCAGCUCCUGACCCGGAGCGCCAGUGACGCAGAAAAGUAAUUACAGUCCCCCGCAGAGUGGAGCAAUGCAAAAUGAACUCCCAGCUUGUUGCAACACCUCUUCUUGACUUCUUGCUGUUCUAAUAUUCUCCCUCUCCUCGUUUCUCCCCCUUCAUGUUUCAUGAACUCCCCCAUCCUGCUGCUACAUUUCACCCUCCUUCCAAACCCAAACCCGGGGACUGUCGUCCCCCCCAGACGCCCCUUCCUCCUCCAGCCUGUGUGUGUCCUUCUCCUCUCCAUCACCUGCUGACUUAUUAACGCAGCAGGUACCAGUAAUGUGCAAUGGCAGUAAAUAAAUGUUAGAUGGACCACAGUGUUCCUCAACCCUGUGCCACACACACACACACACACACACACACACACACACACACACACACACACACACACACACACACACACACACACACACACACACACACGCUGAAUCGAUUUUUUUGAUGCUACUUUAAAAGCUGUGACUCAAAUGCAAGGUAAUUACUUACUAGGUCUGAGUGUUCUUCUCGUCUACCUGUAUGUGUAUUCCUGUAUCAAUGCAUGUAUAAUAUUUUGCCUCAACAUCCUCUCAAAUGUGGGACCAACCUUCCCAGCAACUUUUAAAGCGAGCAUCUAAUAUCACUUGCCGCUACUUUUAUAUGCGUUGUUAUGUUUUGCCUCAGCCGGUGAUGGGGCACAUCCUGUAGACAUAUUAAAGUGUGAAGCAAAUAUCUUUUAUUAUAAUUAUAAUUCCAUGCACUAUAAUUUAGGAUUUGAUAUAAAUAUUAAUUUCAUUUAAUAUAGAAAACUGUGAUGAAGUUGAAGUGAAAGCAUAAAAUGUGACGAGGUUCCCCACUCCACCCAAAUCCCCCCCCCCUCAAUAAAGUGGGUUACUUUGACAACCUCCUUGCAGCGAAACAAAUCAGUGACCAAAUAUACGAGGGUCGCGUCACGUUGCGUCCGUGGCUAACAUGCUAAAUGCUAACAUUGGAUUGCGUUUGACAGCGAUGAGCAGCCGGACUACUGGGACGGGAGCGUGAUGAAGGUGAUCCUGCAGCAGAGCGUGCACGAGCGCUCAGUGCACGCGGACAGGUGAGCAAGUGUGUUUCCACGUGGUCUUAAAUACUUUGCUGCAGCCGUCUUUUUGGGGGGGUUGUGGCUUCAUGCGCUGAGGUUGAUAUUGUUUGCAAUGUGUGUGUUUUACUCUUGUGUGGAUUCUAAAAUCAGUGGCAGGUUAUUUCCCUUCUGGUCUUCGGACUAUUUCUUAUUAUCUGUGUGAAUGUGUUUGCUCUCUUUUUAUCUCAAUUUCUUCCCGGUGGCUAAAGUCAACUUCAGUGGGUGACAGCGUGUGUUUACAGUUAGUUUGGCCUUUCAAAUGGAAAAAUUACAGGAUCAUUAGUAAUGCCACAAAGAAUAUUGCAAGUGAAACCUCAUUGUGUUUACGAUGUAUCGUCAUAUUGGACUGUUCCUGUUUAGUUUUGUUUUGAGAAUGUAGUGUAGUCGAUGCAUGAAGCAGCUUAACAUUCAAAUAUUAAGUACAAGAGUCAAUGCUGCUGAACUGAUCCAUGUAUUUCUGUACAGUGGUACUUAUGAACCCAACAUCUUACCACCGGCUUGAAGCGAGCAACAAGUUGGGCAUUUUUAGAGUAAGAAUCAUUGCAAAGCUCAGCGGCUUGAAAGACCACAAAGGCUGCAGCCACAUCCACUGCGCACUCAUUUACCCGGCAUGGUGUUGCAGAGGUAAUCCCUUUACACUGUGCUCUUUGUUUGAUUUUGAGCUAAUCUCUAGCACCAUUUCUCUCUGACAUCAUUAAGGAAAAGUGCUGAUUUAUAGCUCAAGAGGAAUUAACGGCGUAUACUGUGCACCCGCAUAGUUUCAGAUAUCACUGACUGGCUUUGCACAGAUGUCAUAUUUUGAAGAAUCUAUUCUGGGCUACGUUCCAGUCGGUACCAUAGAUAAUGAAGAACCACAAUGUCGCCUGAUUUUUAUUCUCCUCACUGACGGAGGUCCGUGGCAGAGAGAUUGCCGUUGAUUGUGUUCAAUCACUCGGGCUUGAGUGAAACCUAAAAGUCAAGCGGCGCAGGUUGACACGGGGCCUUUUGAACAAGGCGGCCACUGAGAGCACAAGGUACCGGCCUGAAACAUGAAUCACAUGUUCUUUGAGCGAGCCAUCCCACCGGUUGGGAGCAGAGCUGUUAGGCCCACCGCCGCCUUUCACUGUUUCCCAGAAGACAGAAAUACCGCUGUGCGGGAGGACAGGACUGUAACUUUGUGUUUUGGCCUUGUGGUUUUCUGUCUUAAUUUUAUAUUUUUAUACCAAACUAUUUAGAUUGCCAAACCCCAACAGCAUAAGACUGUCCCUGCUCAAAUUAUUUCCAUUUUAGGCAAAUAGGCGAGACCUAAUUUGGGAGACCUAACGUCACAUCUGUAAGCUUCACUGUGGAAGGGAUGGGGUUGUGAUCUGGGGGCUGUUUUUUGAUGCUUCCUCUACGUCUGCUUGGUGCCUGUUGCAUAAACAUUCAGAAUUGCCACUAUAAUUACAGAAUUUCCGAAUCCAUAACAUGAUUAUUCAGAACCGUCUGUCUCUAUGAAUGACACCACGCUUUCAGAGGACACCGUGACGCCAUUGGGAUAGUUAUCCGUUGUUCACGUCGGUGGUAACUCUGCAGCCUGAGUGCACGCCGGUGGCAGAAUAACACAUUUAGAGGAAACUGCAGCGAAACAUAAAGUUGGUCUCAUGUAUGAAACGACAGGCAGCCCAUCUCCUGCCCUGCUGCAUCUAUUAGAGAUAAAUGGAUGCAGUAACGAGCUCAUGUGGGAUGUAGGACACAUGCUGUAUUUCUGGCGCUUGGAAUCAAUCACUCCUCUUACUUUGGUCUCUUUUACCUGCAGGAGAGACGUUUAUUUCAAUCAAACUCAGUAACCCACAUCCUUUGAAACGGUAUAAUAACAGGCCGGAGGGGGGAAAUGGAUGAAGUGAGUGAAAGUUGCCCUUCUUUUUGUAUUGUGUGAGUUAGAUGUUAACCAUAUCAUUCAAUUUAAGUGAUUAUAUACAGCACAUUAAAAGUCUUACUUCCUAAUAUAACAAAGGCUGAAAUAUAUAUAUAUAUAUAUAUA
ensembl:lncRNA